rnacentral:rRNA from 1 species
UGGGGAAUAUUGGACAAUGGGCGAAAGCCUGAUCCAGCCAUGCCGCGUGUGUGAAGAAGGUCUUCGGAUUGUAAAGCACUUUAAGUUGGGAGGAAGGGCAUUAACCUAAUACGUUAGUGUUUUGACGUUACCGACAGAAUAAUCACCGGCUAACUCUGUGCCAGCCGCCGCGGUAAUACAGAGGGUGCAAGCGUUAAUCGGAAUUACUGGGCGUAAAGCGCGCGUAGGUGGUUUGUUAAGUUGGAUGUGAAAUCCCCGGGCUCAACCUGGGAACUGCAUUCAAAACUGACUGACUAGAGUAUGGUAGAGGGUGGUGGAAUUUCCUGUGUAGCGGUGAAAUGCGUAGAUAUAGGAAGGAACACCAGUGGCGAAGGCGACCACCUGGACUAAUACUGACACUGAGGUGCGAAAGCGUGGGGAGCAAACA